rnacentral:lncRNA from 1 species
UAGAGACAAGGCAGCUGAAGUGGUCCGAGGGCUGGAACAGUGCUGGUUUCUGUGCUGCUGCUCCUUUUUGAUACCUUGUGCCACUUUGCAACUGAAUUUUGAAGAUGUCAGGGGCCAGGACACUCCUGUGAACUUCACUGACAGCUGGAUGGACUUGGCAGAGAGAGCCCAUCUGACAGGGAUGUGAAUGCUUGGGGGUGGUUGCAGCAGAAGGAAGAACAAGUAAGUAAAUUUGAGGGGAUAAAUGUGCAGGCCUUUUCAUGGAGCAAUUGCAAUCAGUUGUUUUAAAGUAUACCCCAGUUGUG